GGUCGGGUAGCUCAGUGGUAGAGCAAUCGCCCGGCAAGCGAGAGACUCGGGUUCGAUUCCCGGUCCGGCGG
rfam:Acyrthosiphon pisum strain LSR1 Contig3321, whole genome shotgun sequence.